UACGGAGGGGGCGAGCGUUAUUCGGAAUUAUUGGGCGCAAAGGGCGCGUAGGCGGCUGUACAAGUCAAAGGUGAAAUCCCUCGGCUCAACUGAGGAACUGCCUUUGAAACUGUACGGCUUGAGGCCGGGAGGGGGUAGCGGAAUUCCCAGUGUAGCGGUGAAAUGCGUAGAUACUGGGAGGAACACCAGUGGCGAAGGCGGCUACCUGGACCGGUUCUGACGCUGAGGCGCGAAAGCGUGGGUAGCAAACAGG
rnacentral:rRNA from 1 species